rnacentral:rRNA from 1 species
CAAUAGCGUAUAUUAAAGUUGUUGCAGUUAAAAAGCUCGUAGUUGAAUUUCGGGUCCCCGCGCUCGGCGCUUCAUUGUGCCGUCGUGGUGUCCCUCCUCGCCGUAAGGCGUCCUUUACUGUGAAAAAAUUAGAGUGUUCAAAGCAGGCAAUCGCUUGAAUACAUUAGCAUGGAAUAAUAAGAUAGGAUCUUGUCUAUUUUGUUGGUUGCGGACAACGAUAAUGAUUAAUAGGGAUGGUUGGGGGUGUCCGUAUUGAGCUGUCAGAGGUGAAAUUCUUGGAUUUGCUCAAGACGAACUACUGCGAAAGCAUUCACCAAGGAUGUUUUCAUUAA